rnacentral:rRNA from 1 species
GAGCUUGCUCCCCGGGUGACGAGUGGCGGACGGGUGAGUAAUGUCUGGGGACCUGCCCGAUGGAGGGGGAUAACUACUGGAAACGGUAGCUAAUACCGCAUAACCUCGAGAGAGCAAAGUGGGGGACCUUCGGGCCUCACACCAUCGGAUGAACCCAGAUGGGAUUAGCUAGUAGGUGGGGUAACGGCUCACCUAGGCGACGAUCCCUAGCUGGUCUGAGAGGAUGACCAGCCACACUGGAACUGAGACACGGUCCAGACUCCUACGGGAGGCAGCAGUGGGGAAUAUUGCACAAUGGGCGCAAGCCUGAUGCAGCCAUGCCGCGUGUAUGAAGAAGGCCUUCGGGUUGUAAAGUACUUUCAGCGGGGAGGAAGGGAUGAAGGUUAAUAACCUUCGUCAUUGACGUUACCCGCAGAAGAAGCACCGGCUAACUCCGUGCCAGCAGCCGCGGUAAUACGGAGGGUGCAAGCGUUAAUCGGAAUUACUGGGCGUAAAGCGCACGCAGGCGGUUUGUUAAGUCAGAUGUGAAAUCCCCGGGCUCAACCUGGGAACUGCAUUUGAAACUGGCAAGCUUGAGUCUCGUAAGGGGGGUAGAAUUCCAGUGUAGCGUGAAAUGCGUAUAGAUCUGGAGGAAUACCGGUGGCGAAGCGGCCCCCUGGACAAACUGACGCUCAGGU